rnacentral:hammerhead_ribozyme from 1 species
AUCCAGAUGACGAGCCUAAAAUAGGACGAAAUGCGCGUUGUCCUGGAU